rnacentral:rRNA from 1 species
GAAGGUGGCCUGUGAGGGUUGCUGGAGGUAUCAGAAGUGCGAAUGCUGACAUAAGUAACGAUAAAGCGGGUGAAAAGCCCGCUCGCCGGAAGACCAAGGGUUCCUGUCCAACGUUAAUCGGGGCAGGGUGAGUCGACCCCUAAGGCGAGGCCGAAAGGCGUAGUCGAUGGGAAACGGGUUAAUAUUCCCGUACUUGGUGUUACUGCGAAGGGGGGACGGAGAAGGCUAUGUUGGCCGGGCGACGGUUGUCCCGGUUUAAGCGUGUAGGUGUGUGUUCCAGGUAAAUCCGGUUCACUUUAACACUGAGGCGUGACGACGAGGCACUACGGUGCUGAAGCAACAAAUGCCCUGCUUCCAGGAAAAGCCUCUAAGCAUCAGGUAACAUCAAAUCGUACCCCAAACCGACACAGGUGGUCAGGUAGAGAAUACCAAGGCGCUUGAGAGAACUCGGGUGAAGGAACUAGGCAAAAUGGUGCCGUAACUUCGGGAGAAGGCACGCUGACACGUAGGUGAAGUGAUUUACUCAUGGAGCUGAAGUCAGUCGAAGAUACCAGCUGGCUGCAACUGUUUAUUAAAAACACAGCACUGUGCAAACACGAAAGUGGACGUAUACGGUGUGACGCCUGCCCGGUGCCGGAAGGUUAAUUGAUGGGGUCAGCGCAAGCGAAGCUCCUGAUCGAAGCCCCGGUAAACGGCGGCCGUAACUAUAACGGUCCUAAGGUAGCGAAAUUCCUUGUCGGGUAAGUUCCGACCUGCACGAAUGGCGUAAUGAUGGCCAGGCUGUCUCCACCCGAGACUCAGUGAAAUUGAACUCGCUGUGAAGAUGCAGUGUACCCGCGGCAAGACGGAAAGACCCCGUGAACCUUUACUAUAGCUUGACACUGAACAUUGAGCCUUGAUGUGUAGGAUAGGUGGGAGGCUUUGAAGUGUGGACGCCAGUCUGCAUGGAGCCGACCUUGAAAUACCACCCUUUAAUGUUU